UGCAGAGGGCCAAGAUAACAUUUGGCUCAAUCUUCUGCUCACUGCUCGAGAGCUACCUGGCUUUGCCUCAUCCCCACGGCUCGGAGUAACAGCUGAGUGUGAAACAGAAGAACCUCUCCUGGUCAGGCAGAUUGUGCAAAUGCUUGGCGCUCCACGCAAAACUAAAACACAUCCCCGCACGACUCAAAGAGCACGUCCAAGGUGAGCUGCUCAAGCACCGAAGUGCGAAAGAGAACGAGGAGCACUGUGCUCCUGUGCUCCUGUAUGCCAUCACGGGCAUUGACCUCUCCCCGAGUCAAGCCGGCGGAGGAUGGAUGGCAACGACCUCAGCCAAGCGGCAGGGUGGAAGUGAUGUGUUUUGCCACAUCCUGUGUGCUGAUGAAAACACAUUACAUCCAGGAGAGUCUGGGUACACCCCGGCUGCUAGACCUGUAGGACAACUGUUCCAUUUUCUCUAAGCUGCGUGGCAGAAGGACAUCUCACCUGCAGCUCUCCAGAGCCCUGUUUACAAGGGAGACUGGCCCUUGUCUUGUGUGUCCUGGUAAACUGCUGAGCUGUGGUUUUUGCAAGGCUGGGACAGCAAUCCUGCAACAGUGAGCACUGCAUUUUUUUCAACACAUCAUAGAACAGCAGGCCAGAUCAAUACACCAUCAGAAGCCAUCAGGCAGAGGUUAAAGGGGGCAAAAAGGCACAACUGACAGCAACCAGCUGGGAAGUAAUAGAUUUUCAGCCUUGAAGCUGCAUGGGAAACCGAUUCUGGAAGAUCAUGGUAUCUGUCAUUGGCUUCAUUCAUAAAUUAAAAACAGCCACCACAGAGUGAAGACAACAUGCAGUGCACCUCCACAGAAAAGACAUCAUUCUAAGAUUAAACUGCAUUCUAAUUAAGACUAAGAAUUCUCUAAAAGAUAGCAGUAUCAACCUUGUCUUGUCUUAAACUGCCAGAUCAAAUUCAUUACCAGGUAUUGUUUUGUUUAAAAAUAUCAGAAAGGAAAGAAAUAGCACAGCACAAUAAUCGCUCUUGCUUGUCUUAGGGUUAUGCUUAACUACUGAAACUAAACAAGCACGCUGGUACUGUACUUUCAGAAAUGUUUUCAGCAUGUGGCUUUCAAAAAAAGCUAUAUAAUCCAACAUUGUAACUGCAAAAG